rnacentral:rRNA from 1 species
UCUGGUGUUUCUAGCGUGGGGGAUCCACCCGUUCCCAUUCCGAACACGGCAGUUAAGACCCAUUGCGGCGAAGAUACUGGGGGCAUAAGCCUUUGGGAAAAUAGCGCGACGCCAGAA